rnacentral:lncRNA from 1 species
AAAUAAUUUUUGUAGCAUAAAAGCUAAAUAAAUUCAUACAUACUGUAAUACAGAUAACCAAAGUAUAAAAUUUAAUUUACAGUGACACGUGGGCCCACGAACGACCAAAAGUAUCAAAAGAGGUAAACCUACAAUUUUUGAGGAUGCAAGUCCAACUGUAGCCCUCAACGAAAUGAGCUAUCUACCGACUAUCCUGAGCCUGAAAUGGGUGGAAAGGAGGGUGGUGAGAUUAUAUAAUCCCAAUGAGUAAACAAAUACCAUCUAAAUAUCUAAAGCUGAGUAAAUGGAGACAGAUAAAAUAAUUUAACAUAUUGUAAUUCAUCACCUUUCAGCUCAUUUCAAUCAAAUAAAAUCAAUUCAUAUAAAUCGAGUAAUCAACAUGGCUUAUGACUUUUUUAAAACUUUGGCUCGUGCCAAAAUCAUGUUUACACCUAGUUAUCAGGGAUGCCUUGAUCGAGGGCUAUCCCAAUCGAGUCCGCCAAGGCUGUUAAAAAGUUAUGUACGCAUAAAUUAUGUUUUUAUUUUGAAAACAUAAUCGUUCCUUGGCGUUGGCUGAGUUCACCCUCAUGUGGUGGUUUGGCAUGAAGUGAUCUCUAAAGUUAUACCUCGGGAGUUACCUUACUCGCCUCUCCAACCGAGGUCAAAUAUAACGGGAUUUCGUGCCCCUCUAAUAGGCUGGUCCACAGAAAACCCGCCCACUGCAGCAAGUUAAACCCACUAUACAAUAAAAUUUGCAAUAGCAUGACAUGACAAUUAUUUUAUUUUAUUUUACAGCCUUUCAAGGCAAAUCAGCAAUUUAUACAUUUUCAACACAUUUAUCAAAUCAACCAUUCAUGCCAAUAUUGCCAUAAGCCAAUCAAUUAGAAUCAUGAAUUUACAACACACAAAAACAGUCUCCAAUUACUCUAUUUUCAAACCAUCAUUCAAUUUCAAGACAAUUUAUGAAAUCUUUUCAUUAAAUCACAUUUUGUUUAUAAAACUGAAAAAUUAAUCAUUUAAUUCAUUUUUCAUAAAAUUCACAAAAUCGAAUAAAACAUACUUUAGGUAAUUAAGAUGAUGAUAAGGUUACUAACUAUUUCGGGAGUCAAAUUUCCAAAUACUCCGAUUCUUGAUCCUCGGGUACUAUCUCUUUACUUUUGCCAGAAUGCUCACCACCUAGACAUAAUGCACAAUAAGCCAUUUACUACAUUGUGCUAAAUUGUUAUAAAACCAAUUCAGGCUUUAUACUAAUGUAUGAAAUGGGAUGCAAAUUGUUCGGAUUAUCGUCUAAACACGAUGUUCUACACAAAUUCAAUUGUGUACCUAGAUAAAACGGUAUUGGCCUAAUUCGAUCUAUCACUUGAUUAACUGGCCAAUAUGUCCAAUUUAACUCCAAAUAAAUUCCAUUUUUCUCCCAAUACUCCAAAUCAUCAAACACAAGUUAAAUAACUUGAAAUAUAGCAAAAUCGUCUUCACAUUUUCUCUUGGGAAUUUCAGCCAUGGUGGGUGCAUCAACACUAUAAUUUUUCCUACUUGAUUCUCACACCAUAAAUCAUCAUUUCCUAAUCAAUUCACUUGAAAUAAAAUCAAAAUCAUCAUCAAUAUUCCACAUGGAGAAUUCGACCAAUGAUGGGUUAUGGGAGAAAAUGAAUUUUUCUUGUUUGAUUUUCAUGCUACACCUCACCAACUAACUAAAAACACUAGAAUAUCUUAAAAUCUAACCAAAACAACCAUCAAAUCUUCUCUCUCUAAAUUCGGCCAGCCAUGAAUCCUUCAUGAUAUCUUGUGAUUGAACCAUGGAAAAUGCAAAAUAAUGCAUGGGAAAGGUAGAUCACAAGUCAAAAUCAAGAAAUUUUACCUUUGAUUGCUUGAUUACUUGAAUUUUCACACUUUUCCCUUGAAUUUUUCCACCUAGGGUUUGUGUUCUUCUUUUCUUCCUUUGUUCUUG